rnacentral:rRNA from 1 species
UUUAUGGAGAGUUUGAUCCUGGCUCAGGAUGAACGCUGGCGGCGUGCCUAAUACAUGCAAGUCGAGCGAACGGACGAGAAGCUUGCUUCUCUGAUGUUAGCGGCGGACGGGUGAGUAACACGUGGAUAACCUACCUAUAAGACUGGGAUAACUUCGGGAAACCGGAGCUAAUACCGGAUAAUAUUUUGAACCGCAUGGUUCAAAAGUGAAAGACGGUCUUGCUGUCACUUAUAGAUGGAUCCGCGCUGCAUUAGCUAGUUGGUAAGGUAAUGGCUUACCAAGGCAACGAUGCAUAGCCGACCUGAGAGGGUGAUCGGCCACACUGGAACUGAGACACGGUCCAGACUCCUACGGGAGGCAGCAGUAGGGAAUCUUCCGCAAUGGGCGAAAGCCUGACGGAGCAACGCCGCGUGAGUGAUGAAGGUCUUCGGAUCGUAAAACUCUGUUAUUAGGGAAGAACAUAUGUGUAAGUAACUGUGCACAUCUUGACGGUACCUAAUCAGAAAGCCACGGCUAACUACGUGCCAGCGUAAACGCGGUAAUACGUAGGUGGCAAGCGUUAUCCGGAAUUAUUGGGCGUAAAGCGCGCGUAGGCGGUUUUUUAAGUCUGAUGUGAAAGCCCACGGCUCAACCGUGGAGGGUCAUUGGAAACUGGAAAACUUGAGUGCAGAAGAGGAAAGUGGAAUUCCAUGUGUAGCGGUGAAAUGCGCAGAGAUAUGGAGGAACACCAGUGGCGAAGGCGACUUUCUGGUCUGUAACUGACGCUGAUGUGCGAAAGCGUGGGGAUCAAACAGGAUUAGAUACCCUGGUAGUCCACGCCGUAAACGAUGAGUGCUAAGUGUUAGGGGGUUUCCGCCCCUUAGUGCUGCAGCUAACGCAUUAAGCACUCCGCCUGGGGAGUACGACCGCAAGGUUGAAACUCAAAGGAAUUGACGGGGACCCGCACAAGCGGUGGAGCAUGUGGUUUAAUUCGAAGCAACGCGAAGAACCUUACCAAAUCUUGACAUCCUUUGACAACUCUAGAGAUAGAGCCUUCCCCUUCGGGGGACAAAGUGACAGGUGGUGCAUGGUUGUCGUCAGCUCGUGUCGUGAGAUGUUGGGUUAAGUCCCGCAACGAGCGCAACCCUUAAGCUUAGUUGCCAUCAUUAAGUUGGGCACUCUAAGUUGACUGCCGGUGACAAACCGGAGGAAGGUGGGGAUGACGUCAAAUCAUCAUGCCCCUUAUGAUUUGGGCUACACACGUGCUACAAUGGACAAUACAAAGGGCAGCGAAACCGCGAGGUCAAGCAAAUCCCAUAAAGUUGUUCUCAGUUCGGAUUGUAGUCUGCAACUCGACUACAUGAAGCUGGAAUCGCUAGUAAUCGUAGAUCAGCAUGCUACGGUGAAUACGUUCCCGGGUCUUGUACACACCGCCCGUCACACCACGAGAGUUUGUAACACCCGAAGCCGGUGGAGUAACCUUUUAGGAGCUAGCCGUCGAAGGUGGGACAAAUGAUUGGGGUGAAGUCGUAACAAGGUAGCCGUAUCGGAAGGUGCGGCUGGAUCACCUCCUUU